GUCGAAAUGGCUAAGUGGUCAAGUCAUUCAUCUACUAUUCAAAAGGUCUCGGGUUCGAGCCUAGAUUUUAGCG
rnacentral:tRNA from 1 species